UGGGGAAUUUUGGACAAUGGGCGAAAGCCUGAUCCAGCAAUGCCGCGUGUGUGAAGAAGGCCUUCGGGUUGUAAAGCACUUUUGUCCGGAAAGAAAUCCUUGGCUCUAAUACAGUCGGGGGAUGACGGUACCGGAAGAAUAAGCACCGGCUAACUACGUGCCAGCAGCCGCGGUAAUACGUAGGGUGCAAGCGUUAAUCGGAAUUACUGGGCGUAAAGCGUGCGCAGGCGGUUUGCUAAGACCGAUGUGAAAUCCCCGGGCUCAACCUGGGAACUGCAUUGGUGACUGGCAGGCUAGAGUAUGGCAGAGGGGGGUAGAAUUCCACGUGUAGCAGUGAAAUGCGUAGAGAUGUGGAGGAAUACCGAUGGCGAAGGCAGCCCCCUGGGCCAAUACUGACGCUCAUGCACGAAAGCGUGGGGAGCAAACAGGAUUAGAUACCCUGGUAGUCCACGCCCUAAACGAUGUCAACUAGUUGUUGGGGAUUCAUUUCCUUAGUAACGUAGCUAACGCGUGAAGUUGACCGCCUGGGGAGUACGGUCGCAAGAUUAAAACUUAAAGGAAUUGACGGGGUCAUAGCUUUUU
rnacentral:rRNA from 1 species